GAUGAACGCUGGCGGCGUGCCUAAUACAUGCAAGUCGAGCGAACGGACGAGAAGCUUGCUUCUCUGAUGUUAGCGGCGGACGGGUGAGUAACACGUGGAUAACCUACCUAUAAGACUGGGAUAACUUCGGGAAACCGUAGCUAAUACCGGAUAAUAUUUUGAACCGCAUGGUUCAAAAGUGAAAGACGGUCUUGCUGUCACUUAUAGAUGGAUCCGCGCUGCAUUAGCUAGUUGGUAAGGUAACGGCUUACCAAGGCAACGAUGCAUAGCCGACCUGAGAGGGUGAUAGGCCACACUGGAACGGAGACACGGUCCAGACUCCUACGGGAGGCAGCAGUAGGGAAUCUUCCGCAAUGGGCGAAAGCCUGACGGAGCAACGCCGCGUGAGUGAUGAAGGUCUUCGGAUCGUAAAACUCUGUUAUUAGGGAAGAACAUAUGUGUAAGUAACUGUGCACAUCUUGACGGUACCUAAUCAGAAAGCCACGGCUAACUACGUG
rnacentral:rRNA from 1 species